rnacentral:rRNA from 1 species
AGCAGGCGCGAAACCUUUACACUGCACGCACGUGCGAUAAGGGGACUCCGAGUGCGAGGGCAUAUCGUCCUCGCUUUUGUGUACCGUAGGGUGGUACACGAACAAGGGCUGGGCAAGACCGGUGCCAGCCGCCGCGGUAAUACCGGCAGCCCGAGUGAUGGCCGAUCUUAUUGGGCCUAAAGCGUCCGUAGCUGGGUCUGAAAGUCCAUCGGGAAAUCCACUCGCUCAACGAGUGGCCGUCCGGUGGAAACUCCACACCUUGGGACCGGAAGGCUCGAAGGGUACGGCCGGGGUAGGAGUGAAAUCCUGUAAUCCCGUCCGGACCACCGAUGGCGAAAGCACUUCGAGAAAACGGAUCCGACAGUGAGGGACGAAAGCUAAGAUCGCGAACCGGAUUAGAUACCCGGGUAGUCUUAGCCGUAAACAAUGUUCGUUAGGUAUGACACAGACUACGCGUCUGUGUGUGCCGUAGGGAAGCCGAGAAACGAA